UCCUCUCUCCCCGUCAAGCUCUCUCUCUCUCCCUCACUCUCAAACACACGGCAACAACACCAAUUCUUCAAAACUUCACGGAUCGACGAAAAUAAAAUCACCAUCUUCUUCGUUUCGACGAUACGAGUCCAACCAUACCAAUUUCAGGACUUUUCAAGCUUAUAGGAAGCUUCUUGAGGUCCUUAGGAGGCUUGGAGUAAUUCGUUGGAAGUUUUUGGACGAAAAAACAUGGAGAACGACAAGUUCAAAGUUUGGCCGGAGCUUUCGAGGCUUUUUCCGGCGAAUCCACGGCGAGUUAGGGGUCGAGGCAGAAAUUCCGGCAAAACACCCACCUCCGGCGAAACCAGUCCGGCGACGCGAGGAAGAAGACGCGCGCAUGGGCAGCGCGUCUACAGUGCGCGUGAGGGCGCGUGAGAGCCCCAAAUUGAGUUCUAAAAAUUGUCACGUGUUCGUGACGUCGUGUAGAUCACCGUGGUAUAUUCACACACCCAA